UUAAUUUCAAUCAUCUACUGUGCUAUUCAAGGCAGCCGAAGCGCGAAACUGCUGAUUAAAAUCAUAAACAAAAAAGCCUAAGGUAAACCAAAGCAAAUUGGACAACUCAUUAAUAUGCGCACUAAAUUUACAAAAUGAUGCGAUAAUCGCGGCCAGCCAAAAUAGGAAAUAGCUCCCAAUUCCGAGAUUAUAGAAAACGAGAGAGAACGGUGGAAUAUAUGGCUAUUGGGUGAUUCAUUUGGCGAGGCUGAAGUGCAGGCCGUUAGCAUUUGAACGGGCUUCUGUCGAAGGAUGCGGUGGGAACACGCUUUAGCUUUUUGCGUUAGCUCUGGCCAACGCAUCUAAUGAAUCACUAAUGGAAUCACAGCGACCAACAACAGCAGCUGGAGAGCUAAAAAAAACAAAUAAAAAAGGCAAACGAGCAACAGGUUUUGCGGAUGGUUCUUGCUCGCGUACACAGAAAAAAAGGAGUUCAUUGCUUAGAAAUGAAAAUGAAAUAGGAAAACCACAAAUUCUUAUCAAAAUGUUACUUUCAAUCAAGAAUGUUCUGUACACAGCGACAAAUUUAGAAAAUGUGAAAAUAUUUCAAAUACUUAAAAAAUUUUUCUGACUUGUCAGAAGCACAUAGAUUUCAUUUGAAAUGUUUAAAUAAUUUAGUGAAUUGUGAUUAAAUUUUGAAAAGUAA